rnacentral:rRNA from 1 species
AGAACGAACGCUGGCGGCAUGCCUAAUACAUGCAAGUCGAACGAACACUUCGGUGUUAGUGGCGCACGGGUGCGUAACGCGUGGGAAUCUGCCCUUGGGUUUGGAAUAACAGUUGGAAACGACUGCUAAUACCGGAUGAUAUCGAAAGAUCAAAGAUUUAUCGCCCAGGGAUGAGCCCGCGUAGGAUUAGCUAGUUGGUGAGGUAAAGGCUCACCAAGGCGACGAUCCUUAGCUGGUCUGAGAGGAUGAUCAGCCACACUGGGACUGAGACACGGCCCAGACUCCUACGGGAGGCAGCAGUAGGGAAUAUUGGACAAUGGGCGCAAGCCUGAUCCAGCAAUGCCGCGUGAGUGAUGAAGGCCUUAGGGUUGUAAAGCUCUUUUACCCGAGAUGAUAAUGACAGUAUCGGGAAGAAUAAGCCCCGGCUAACUCCGUGCCAGCAGCCGC